UUUCUUUCAAAAAAAUCAAAAUGUAAAAUCCUCAUUCUUCUUCUCUUACCAACUAGAUUUCUUCAUCUCUUCUCCUUGCAACCAACCACUCAAUAUCAUCAAAUUUACCUUCAUCAUCUUGCUUCCUUUUCUUCUCUAUUCUAUCUCAAUUUAUUCAAAUCUCAUUUUCUCAAAAUCUCUAAAUCAGAAAAUUUCAACUUAAUGAGUGAAGGAAGCAUUCAACUGAGUCCCGGUUAUUAUUGAGACUUCAAGAGUUGUAGAAUUAUUGGACAUCAUUUGGUAGCUCGUUGACGCGCUCAGAGUUGCUUCCGGUUCUUUGGAAUCAAGUUAUACAGGAGUUAUUCCAGGUUCCAUUCCACCUGCCCCUCAGUAGAUCUUAGUCGUUUUGGUGAGCCCUUCUUCUUUCCAAGGGCUAAGUAAUUAUGUA